rnacentral:rRNA from 1 species
CAGUCGCCGCGGGAAUACGUAGGGUGCGAGCGUUGUCCGGAUUUAUUGGGCGUAAAGCGAGCGCAGGCGGUUAGAUAAGUCUGGAGUUAAAGGCUGUGGCUUAACCAUAGUACGCUUUGGAAACUGUUUAACUUGAGUGCAGAAGGGGAGAGUGGAAUUCCAUGUGUAGCGGUGAAAUGCGUAGAUAUAUGGAGGAACACCGGUGGCGAAAGCGGCUCUCUGGUCUGUAACAGACGCUGAGGCUCGAAAGCGUGGGGAGCGAACAGGAUUAGAUACCCGCGUAGUCCCUGUCUCUUAUACA